GAUGAACGCUGGCGGCGUGCCUAACACAUGCAAGUCGAACGGAGUCCAGCCUUUAAGACCUUCGGGUCAAAGAGGGGAAGACUGAGUGGCGGACGGGUGAGUAACACGUGGGCAACCUGGCUCAUAGAGGGGGAUAACAGAGAGAAAUUUCUGCUAAUACCGCAUAAGCACACACUGCCGCAUGGCAGAGGGUGAAAAGAGAAUCGCUAUGAGAUGGACCCGCGUCUGAUUAGCCAGUUGGCAGGGUAAGAGCCUACCAAAGCGACGAUCAGUAGCCGAUCUGAGAGGAUGAACGGCCACAUUGGGACUGAGACACGGCCCAAACUCCUACGGGGGGCAGCAGUGGGGGAUAUUGCACAAUGGGGGGAACCCUGAUGCAGCGACGCCGCGUGAGUGAAGAAGUAUUUCGGUAUGUAAAGCUCUAUCAGCAGGGAAGAUAAUGACAGGACCUGAAUAAGAAGCCCCGGCUAACUACGU
rnacentral:rRNA from 1 species